AACCUGUUCACACAUGUGGAUAUGUCAAAGUUUUUACCAGACUGUUCAAGGUCCUGCAUGCUUUUGUUUCCUCAGCAAACCAAAGUGAUUCGCACAUAUAUGGGAUGAAACUCAAACUCUUUACAUGUUAUCCAUUCAUAUAUCUAAGAACUGGAAAAAAAGAAUAAUAAGCAAAAACAGACAAGGGCCUUGUAACUCAUGGAACUUAACACUCAUCUGAAUAAUGUCAAUGACUAUCUCUGCAACUAUUCAUGCACAUAAAGGUAAAAUGGUAAUUGUGCUUAGGGCAUCCUUGUUUCUACUUUGUACAGUGACAGAUAAAGAGCUCAUACCAGAAGAAGAAAAAUCUCAGCUCUGUCAUUUUCUUGAUUGCUUAGAAAUGCAUUUUAGUGUUAUUUUCCACUGGGUAGUUUCACUGCAGGUCUAUCUUUUAAACCAUUUGCACAUUUAGUGAAGAUUAGCUGAAUUAAAACCAGUUAAAAUAAUCUGCAAAUCAUCUUAACCAAGCCCGUUUAAAACUGUGAUAUGCUGGAGCCAGUAAGAGCAAAUCAAUGAGAACAAUCAACUAUCAACUUUUCCAUAAUGAGAAGACCUAACCUUCUCUUGCAAUACUUCAGAAAUAAAAUGUGACCAGCUGCCACUCAGAUCAAGACAAGCAAUACUACUUGGAUUUUUUUUCUGAGACUGAAAAAUAGAGAAUUUGAGAACUGAAAAAUAAUAAAGUUUCAUCCUGUUCCCCCACCACCACCCUCAAUCUCUAAUACACACAACACUGGAGUAUAUGCUUUCCACUUUGGAGAUCACUGACUUACCAUAGUAGUGAGAAUAAAGAUGGAGAAAAAUGAAUAGAAUUAAAGCACAUUCAAGGAGGUAAGAUCAUUAGGACUUGGUGACAGUUUAUUGGGUAUGAAAGAGAGGUAAGUACUAAAGAUAAUUCCAACAAGGUUUUCCUAGCUUCACUAAGACAGGGAACAGUAAAAGACAAUUAUGUUUGUCUUCUCAUGCUUUUGGUUGGGAGCUAGCAGGGAGAAUCACAAAUUUUCCCUGGAAGAUGUCUCAA